rnacentral:rRNA from 1 species
UACGUAGGGUCCUAGCGUUGUCCGGAUUUAUUGGGCGUAAAGAGCUCGUAGGCGGUUCUGUAAGUCAGGUGUGAAAUCUCCACGCUCAACGUGGAGGCGCCACCUGAAACUGCCGUGACUCGAGUCCGGUAGGGGAGUGUGGAAUUCCCGGUGUAGCGGUGAAAUGCGCAGAUAUCGGGAGGAACACCAGUGGCGAAGGCGGCCAGCUGGGCCAGAUCUGACGCUGAGGCGCGAAAGCGUGGGGAGCAAACAGG